GCGGAAGUAGCUCAAUGGUAGAGCUUCUGCUUGCCAUGCAGAAGGUUGAGGGUUCGAAUCCCUUCUUCCGCUCCA
rnacentral:tRNA from 1 species